CCGGCCCCUGUCCCAGGGGGGCCCCGCUCGGAGGGAAGGCUGAGGAAUCACGUCCACGUUUUGCUCCAGUCUUCCAGGAGACAGGGAAGGGAAAUGUCUGUGAUGGAGCCAGCUCAGAUGCCGGUGACCUUCGAGGAGGUGGCUGUGUAUUUCACC